rnacentral:rRNA from 1 species
UACGGGGGGGGCAAGCGUUGUUCGGAAUUACUGGGCGUAAAGGGCUCGUAGGUGGCCAACUAAGUCAGACGUGAAAAUCCCCUCGGCUUAACCGGGGAACUGCGUCUGAUACUGGAUGGCUUGAGUUUGGGAGAGGGAUGCGGAAUUCCAGGUGUAGCGGUGAAAUGCGUAGAUAUCUGGAGGAACACCGGUGGCGAAGGCGGCAUCCUGGACCAACACUGACACUGAGGAGCGAAAGCCAGGGGAGCAAACGGG